AGGAAUAAACAGACCACUCAGGAGGGGUGAGAAAAUCAAUAUAUAUAUAUAUAUAUAUAUAUAUAUAUAUAUAUAUAUAUAUUGAUUGAUUUUCUCACCCUUCCUGGGUGGUCUUUUUAU